rnacentral:lncRNA from 1 species
GCCUGGGAUUCAGAGCCUCACCCAAUCUACCAUACUCUAAAGACAGAAUGGUUUUUGUUGUGAGCUCUGUGGAGAGACAGAUGAUUCUCCCAGGGAGAGGAGCAGCAUUCCCUGCACCCACCAUUUCAGCUAUGGAUGGGUUUGCCUUGGGUGGAGGCCUGGAACUUGCCCUGGCCUGUGACCUCCGAGUGGCAGGGAUUAGAGCUGGCAGACAGGGUGGGGGCUUCACUCUGUUUUGUCUAAGCAGUUUCCUUGGCUGUCACGGGACUGAUCGAGACCACCUGAGGACUCCUCCCAGGAGCAGGUAAUCUCAACACACACCAUCCAUUCUUCUCUACUUGUUCAACUCCACUCUAUCCAGCAUAAUUCC